UUUAUGUUUAUAUAUAUAUAAUUUUUAAGGAAAUAAAUAAACGGCUCGACGUAUCAACUAAUGACUAAUUUGGUUAUGUUUUGUGUCUCAGUUUUUUUAAGUACUUUUUUAAAAAAGAUUUUUUUUUUGUAAUUUUUUUUUUUUUUUUUUAAUUUUCUUUUCAUUACGUUUUUCAUUUUUUUGUUUAGCUCUUUUGUGUGCUUUUGUUGUUGAUUUUUUAACGCGGAAACGGAAGUCAAUUUGUCAGCUUUUAGGGCACAGAAAUCUUAGAUAUGUGUGAAUGUGUGUGUGUGUGUGUGUUUGUGUGUGUUUUGCCAAAUGCUUGAUAUGUGCGUGUGUGUGUGUGUGUGUGUGAAUGGGCCUGGCGCACAUCAAUUUAUAUGCUAAUGGCGCCAGGCAAGUUAUUUAAAAUACAUAUGCCACGCCCCCACAACGCCCCAGCCAACAGCCUGUUAAAUGAAGUAAGAAAAAAGAGCGAAAAAAAAAAUAAUCGCGCAGAAAAAUCCAAUUUAUUUAAAUAUAUAUAAAUGCGCGCACACAUACACACAUACAUACAUGCUUUGUGUGUGUGCAUGUACAUAUAUAAAUUAAUAUGGCUUCUCAUGGCUGCAGCGUGCUCCCACAUUGGCUGGCCACGCCCUCUGCCGCCCCGUCCGCACUUCAUUCAGCGCACGUCAUGUUGACAAAAUUCAGUUAACGCAAAAAUCUCAUUUAAAUAUGCAUGAAGCCCAAGCCGCAGUCGCGUCCAAGCCGCAAUUUAAUUUCUCUCUCUCUCUCUCGCUCUCUUCUACUUAAAAAAAAAAAAAAUUGUUUCGUUGUUGUUUUGCCUUUAACUUGCUGCAGGACACUUCACAUUGUCUAGCUGCAAUCGAAGAGAGAGAGAGAGAGAGAGAGAGCGAGUGAGA